rnacentral:rRNA from 1 species
UGGGGAAUAUUGGACAAUGGGCGAAAGCCUGAUCCAGCCAUGCCGCGUGUGUGAAGAAGGUCUUCGGAUUGUAAAGCACUUUAAGUUGGGAGGAAGGGCAUUAACCUAAUACGUUAGUGUCUUGACGUUACCGACAGAAUAAGCACCGGCUAACUACGUGCCAGCAGCCGCGGUAAUACAUAGGGUGCGAGCGUUAAUCGGAAUUACUGGGCGUAAAGCGCGCGCAGGCGGUUAUUUAAGACAGAUGUGAAAUCCCCGGGCUCAACCUGGGAACUGCAUCUCAGACUGUCAAGCUAGAGUAUGGUAGAGGGUAGUGGAAUUCCCUGUGUAGCAGUGAAAUGCGUAGAUAUAGGAAGGAACACCAGUGGCGAAGGCGACCACCUGGGCUGAUACUGACACUGAGGCGCGAAAGCGUGGGGAGCAAACA